rnacentral:rRNA from 1 species
GCAAAACGCGAAGAACCUUACCAAGGCUUGACAUGCAUCUCUAAGCGCGUGAAAGCACGUGACCCUUCGGGGGAUUUGCACAGGUGCUGCAUGGCCGUCGUCAGCUCGUGUCGUGAGAUGUUGGGUUAAGUCCCGCAACGAGCGCAACCCUUGUGACUAGUUGCCAGCACGUUAUGGUGGGAACUCUAGUCCGACUGCCCAGAUCAACUGGGAGGAAGGUGGGGACGACGUCAGGUCAGUAUGGCCCUUACGCCUUGGGCUGCACACGUACUACAAUGCCCAGCACAAUGAGAACCGAGACCGCGAGGUGGAGGAAAUCUAAAAAACUGGGCCCAGUUCGGAUUGGAGGCUGCAACUCGCCUCCAUGAAGUUGGAAUCGCUAGUAAUGGCGCAUCAUCUACGGCGCCGUGAAUACGUUCCCGGGUCUUGUACACACCG